rnacentral:rRNA from 1 species
AGAGUUUGAUCAUGGCUCAGAAUCAACGCUGGCGGCGCGCUUAACACAUGCAAGUCGCACGAGAAAGUGGAGCAAUCCAUGAGUACAGUGGCGUACGGGUGAGUAACACGUGGAUCAUCUACCUCUUAGUGGGGAAUAACCCUGGGAAACCGGGGCUAAUACCGCAUAAGCUCGAGAGAGGAAAGCAGCAAUGCGCUGAGAGAGGAGUCCGCGGCCGAUUAGCUAGUUGGCAGGGUAAACGCCUACCAAGGCAAAGAUCGGUAGCCGGCCUGAGAGGGCACACGGCCACACUGGCACUGAAACACGGGCCAGACUCCUACGGGAGGCAGCAGUGGGGAAUCUUGCACAAUGGGGGAAACCCUGAUGCAGCGACGCCGCGUGAGCGAUGAAGCCCUUCGGGGUGUAAAGCUCUUUCGGCAGGGACGAUCAUGACGGUACCUGCAGAAGCAGCUGCGGCUAACUACGUGCCAGCAGCCGCGGUAAUACGUAGGCAGCGAGCGUUGUUCGGAGUUACUGGGCGUAAAGGGUGUGUAGGCGGUUGCUUAAGUUUGGUGUGAAAUCUCCCGGCUCAACUGGGAGGGUGCGCCGAAUACUGAGUGACUCGAGUGCGGGAGAGGAGAGUGGAAUUCCUGGUGUAGCGGUGAAAUGCGUAGAUAUCAGGAGGAACACCGGCGGUGUAGACGGCUCUCUGGACCGUAACUGACGCUGAGACACGAAAGCGUGGGUAGCAAACAGGAUUAGAUACCCUGGUAGUCCACGCCCUAAACGAUGCAUAUUUGGUGUGGGUCAUUCAGUUGAUCCGUGCCGGAGCUAACGCGUUAAAUAUGCCGCCUGGGGAGUACAGUCGCAAGGCUGAAACUCAAAGGAAUUGACGGGGCCCGCACAAGCGGUGGAGCAUGUGGUUCAAUUCGACGCAACGCGAAGAACCUUACCUGGG